rnacentral:misc_RNA from 1 species
GAUGAAGAACGCAGCGAAAUGCGAUAAGUAAUGUGAAUUGCAGAAUUCAGUGAAUCAUCGAAUCUUUGAACGCACAUUGCGCCCCCUGGUAUUCCGGGGGGCAUGCCUGUUCGAGCGUCAUUUCACCACUCAAGCCUCGCUUGGUAUUGGGCAACGCGGUCCGCCGCGUGCCUCAAAUCGACCGGCUGGGUCUUCUGUCCCCUAAGCGUUGUGGAAACUAUUCGCUAAAGGGUAUUCGGGAGGCUACGCCGUAAAACAACCCCAUUUCUAAGGUUGACCUCGGAUCAGGUAGGGAUACCCGCUGAACUUAAGCAUAUCAAUAAGCGGAGGA